AGAGUUUGAUCCUGGCUCAGAACGAACGCUGGCGGCAGGCUUAACACAUGCAAGUUGAACGGGAUUUGUGUGGUGCUUGCACCAUAUAAUGAGAGUAGCGCACUGGUGAGUAACACGUGGGAACGUACCUUUUGGUGGGGGACAACAUCUGGAAACGGAUGCUAAUACCGCAUAAGACCUGAGGGUGAAAGAUUUAUCGCCGAAAGAACGGCCCGCGGAAGAUUAGGCAGUUGGUGGGGUAAAGGCCUACCAAACCUACGAUCUAUAGCUGGUCUGAGAGGACGAUCAGCCACAUUGGAACUGAGACACGGUCCAGACUCCUACGGGAGGCAGCAGUGAGGAAUAUUGGGCAAUGGAGGCAACUCUGACCCAGCCAUGCCGCGUGAGUGAAGAAGGUUUUCGGAUUGUAAAGCUCUUUCGGAUGUGACGAUGAUGACGGUAGCAUCUAAAGAAGCCCCGGCUAACUUCGUGCCAGCAGCCGCGGUAAUACGAAGGGGGCGAGCGUUGUUCGGAAUUACUGGGCGUAAAGGGUGUGUAGGCGGUUAUGUAAGAUAGCGGUGAAAUCCCGGGGCUUAACCUCGGAAUAGCCGUUAUAACUAUGUAGCUAGAGUUAUGGAGAGGAUAGCGGAAUACCCAGUGUAGAGGUGAAAUUCGUAGAUAUUGGGUAGAACACCAGAGGCGAAGGCGGCUAUCUGGGCAUUGAUUGACGCUGAGGCACGAAAGCAUGGGGAUCAAACAGGAUUAGAUACCCUGGUAGUCCAUGCUGUAAACGAUGAAUGCUGGUUGUCGGCUUUAGGGUCGGUGACGAAGUUAACGCG
rnacentral:rRNA from 1 species